UUCUGUUAACUAUGUGAUACCCUUCUUUUUUUCAAUUUCUCCCUCUUAGACAAAAACAACACACCAUACCCAUCUCUCUCGGCUUUUCUGCUCUCCAACUUUCUCCCAAUCUCUUUUCUCAACUUUGCUGUCAUCUCACAGUCUCAUUGUUCAUGCUCAAAUUCGGGAAGAACCAACCCAACAGGACCCUCGGCAGCUUCCUCCCUCGGCUCCCAUUCUCCUAGGUUAAGCUGAAAGUUCCGCUCCCUUGUUAUUCACUUGACUCCAUCAAACUAAUUCUUGACAAAAAGUUAAAAGUGCAGGUGAGGAUACACCCCUCCUGGAUAGGAGUUGAGUGGUGUUUGGACGCUUCCAGCAGUAGUUGCCACCUUUAGUUUUGCUUAGAUGUUUUGGAAGUUUUAUAAUCAUUUUCUAAGUGUAGGCUGUAUGUAUAGGCAAUACAUGUAUAGUUAUUUUGAGGAUGACUGUAUUGUUACCUUAUACUGGUCUAUUACUAUCUUCUGUUUUUGAAUUAUCAUAAUUUAAUGUUUUA